GCAGACGUGACCGAGUGGUUAAGGUGCAUGACUCGAAAUCAUGUGGUGUCUCGCCGCGCAGGUUCGAAUCCUGCCGUCUGCG